UACGUAGGGUGCGAGCGUUAAUCGGAAUUACUGGGCGUAAAGCGUGCGCAGGCGGUUCGUUGUGUCCGAUGUGAAAGCCCCGAGCUUAACUUGGGAAUGGCAUUGGAAACUGGCGAGCUGGAGUGUGGCAGAGGGGGGUGGAAUUCCACGUGUAGCAGUGAAAUCCGUAGAUAUGCGAAGGAACACCAGAGGCGAAGGCGCCUUCCUGGACAAGUAUUGACGCUGAGGCGCGAAAGCGUGGGGAUCAAACAGG
rnacentral:rRNA from 1 species